rnacentral:rRNA from 1 species
GAUGAACGCUGGCGGCGUGCCUAAUACAUGCAAGUCGAGCGAACAGACGAGGAGCUUGCUCCUCUGACGUUAGCGGCGGACGGGUGAGUAACACGUGGAUAACCUACCUAUAAGACUGGGAUAACUUCGGGAAACCGGAUCUAAUACCGGAUAAUAUAUUGAACCGCAUGGUUCAAUAGUGAAAGACGGUUUUGCUGUCACGUAUAGAUGGAUCCGCGCCGCAUUAGCUAGUUGGUAAGGUAACGGCUUACCAAGGCAACGAUGCGUAGCCGACCUGAGAGGGUGAUCGGCCACACUGGAGCUGAGACACGGUCCAGACUCCUACGGGAGGCAGCAGUAGGGAAUCUUCCGCAAAGGGCGAAAGCCUGACGGAGCAACGCCGCGUGAGUGAUGAAGGUCUUCGGAUCGUAAAACUCUGUUAUUAGGGAAGAACAAAUGUGUAAGUAACUAUGCACGUCUUGACGGUACCUAAUCAGAAAGCCACGGCUAACUACGUG